UGAGUAUGAUUGGUAAAUAUGAGAUGAAUUGAGAGUAAAUUAAAUAAUGAAAGGGAGAGUAAAUUUAUUAGGGUUAGUAAGAGAAAAUAAUAAUAUAAAUAAAAGACAAGAAAAUAAAGUUGCAGAUAUUUUAUCAAAGACACAAAUUCCAAAUGGAAACUUGUUUUGGUGUUAUAAUUAUAUUCCUAGAUUCAUUACAACUCUGUUAC
rnacentral:lncRNA from 1 species